GGAAGGGUGGCUCAGUGGUAGAGCAUCACCGUUGAGGGCUUUGCCCGUCGCGGUGGAUCUUGGCUUCGCGUGGUUCGACUCCCGCCCCUUCCA
rnacentral:tRNA from 1 species